AUUGAACGCUGGUGGCAGGCUUAACACAUGCAAGUCGAACGAGUGUCGGACGGGUGAGUAAUGCUUGGGAAUCUAGCUUAUGGUGGGGGAUAACUAUGGGAAACUGUAGCUAAUACCGCGUACCAUAGGAUGAGCCCAAGUGGGAUUAGGUAGUUGGUGAGGUAAAGGCUCACCAAGCCGACGAUCUCUAGCUGGUAUGAGAGGAUGACCGGCCAAACUGGGACUGAGACACGGCCCAGAAUCCGACGGGAGGCAGCAGUGGGGAAGAUUGCGCAAUGGGUGCAACCGGACGCAGCAAGGCCGCGUGAAUGAAGAAGGCCUUCGGGUUGUAAAGUUCUUUCGGUAGCGAGGCGUUAACUACAGAAGAAGCACCGGCUAACUGCGUGCCAGACGCCGCGGUAAUAC
rnacentral:rRNA from 1 species